GCUUGGCAACAACCAAAACAUCAGUGUAUUAUCAACAUUCUUCUCCUACUAAAUCCAAAAGACAGCACUGUAGCAGCUACUUGGAAGAAAAUUAACUCUGUCACAGCUGAAACCAGGACACUGAUCUUCACAGCCUCCUGGAAAGAUUCCCUUGGAGAUCUGAGACGAGAACCUACCUGUCCCCAGCAGAUGGAGAUUUUUUACUGAACCAGCCAGGCCCAAAGGAAUUUCAAGGCCACCUCAGAAAGUGGAAAACAGGAUCUGCUGUGGGAGUGAGGCAGUUCUGCAAUAAUAGGGCCUCAGCACGACAUAAAUCAACGGACCUAUCAGCAGUGAGACGCCAGCGCAUGGACAGCUCGUGAACAUAGAUGAUAUCCAAUUAGUGAAUGCAUGCUUGGAGCGUGGACACAUGAUCAGAGAAUAGUUGCAUAUGUAAGGAGGCUUGUUUCUGUAAUAAAUAGCUUUGCGUGAUCCACAUUGAA